GUCUCAACCGCGCCUUUGGCUAUGUCCAGAUGCAUCUGUAUUAUUCAGUUCAAACACUCCCUGUGAGUUCCACAUUCUUCUCAUUCUUUGGGAUGAAGUGGUUUGCUCGAUUGGCACCUUAUCUACUAGCUUAAACAUUCACUUCCUCCAAAACCAGCUUACAGUGGCUGUAAUGUGUGCUAUCUACAGGAUAAUUGUCAAAUUCGCCAAGGCUUCUUUAGCAGGACUUCCCAAAUCCACAAUCUGAAUCACCUAGAAGGACAAGAACAACAGAUACAUGAAAGCAUCAUCACCUCCACGUUUUCCUCUAAGCCACGUACCAGCCAGACUUGGACAUGUAAUCGCUUCAUUGUUUCUGCGUUAAAAUCCUGGAACUUUUUACCUAAUAGCACUGUAGGGAUAUUUCCACCACAUGGACUGCAGUGGUUGAAGAAGUAGAGCCAUCACCACCUUCGCCCUGGAGAUGGGUAGCAAAUACUGGCCUUUCUAGCAGCAUCCACAUGCUGAGAAUUAAUUAGAAAUAAUUAUAUACCUUUUAAUAAAAAUGUAACCAAGAAUCACGACAGUAUGAAUUAGGUUUUUUAGACAGAUAUUGUGUAUUGUAUAAUAGAGUUUUAAUAAUAUGCCAUUUGAUCACCCAUCAAAAAUGUUAUCAUUCAGCUUUCUCUUUUCUGGGGAAAAGAUGCCCAGCCUGUGCAAUCUUUCUUGGUUUUUAUAACCUCUCAGUUCUGGUAUCAUACGUAUGAAUUUUUUUGCACCUUCUGUAAUGUGCUGUAUCCUUCUUAUAAUAUGAAAACUAGAACUGUGCAUGGCACUCCAAGUAUAUCCUAACCAAGCUUCUGUACAAUUUUAACAUAACUUUCCUGUUUUUCAAUUCCGGCCUCUAGCAAUAAAUCCCAAUACUUUGC